rnacentral:rRNA from 1 species
GAUGAACGCUAGCGGGAGGCCUAACACAUGCAAGCCGAGCGGUAAUGUUUCUUCGGAAAUGAGAGAGCGGCGUACGGGUGCGUAACACGUGUGCAACCUGCCUUUAUCUGGGGGAUAGCCUUUCGAAAGGAAGAUUAAUACUCCAUAAUAUAUUGAACGGCAUCGUUUAAUAUUGAAAGCUCCGGCGGAUAGAGAUGGGCACGCGCAAGAUUAGCUAGUUGGUGAGGUAACGGCUCACCAAGGCGAUGAUCUUUAGGGGGCCUGAGAGGGUGAUCCCCCACACUGGUACUGAGACACGGACCAGACUCCUACGGGAGGCAGCAGUGAGGAAUAUUGGUCAAUGGGUGCAAGCCUGAACCAGCCAUCCCGCGUGAAGGACGACUGCCCUAUGGGUUGUAAACUUCUUUUGUAUAGGGAUAAACCUACCCUCGUGAGGGUAGCUGAAGGUACUAUACGAAUAAGCACCGGCUAACUCCGUG